UAGGGAAUCUUCGGCAAUGGGGGCAACCCUGACCGAGCAACGCCGCGUGAGUGAAGAAGGUUUUCGGAUCGUAAAACUCUGUUGUUAGAGAAGAACGUUAAGUAGAGUGGAAAAUUACUUAAGUGACGGUAUCUAACCAGAAAGGGACGGCUAACUACGUGCCAGCAGCCGCGGUAAUACGUAGGUCCCAAGCGUUGUCCGGAUUUAUUGGGCGUAAAGCGAGCGCAGGUGGUUUCUUAAGUCUGAUGUAAAAGGCAGUGGCUCAACCAUUGUGUGCAUUGGAAACUGGGAGACUUGAGUGCAGGAGAGGAGAGUGGAAUUCCAUGUGUAGCGGUGAAAUGCGUAGAUAUAUGGAGGAACACCGGAGGCGAAAGCGGCUCUCUGGCCUGUAACUGACACUGAGGCUCGAAAGCGUGGGGAGCAAACAGGAUUAGAUACCC
rnacentral:rRNA from 1 species